UGAUAGAUUUUAUAAUUUUACAUCCAGGAUCUUCAGGAGAAUUAAGCGAAACCUAAACUCCUUGUUCUCAACAAAGACCUUCUGUAUGGCCAAGAACAUGAGUCUGCUCCCUCAAGAAGAUUACGUAGCCCUGCACCUGCUGCCAGUACUCCUCCCUUCUCCGCCUUACACAUUUGGAAGAAGAGUUUCAGACCCAUCAACCUGGAAGUUCAGAAGGUUUCAUUGAUAUCCACCUUGUAAGGAAUUUUCUCCUUUAAGGUACUGAAGCUCAAGAGAUGUUUUCUAAACUGUUUUUAACAUUUAACAUUUUAACACAAGCUUGUUUGCCAGACAGACAAGAUGAUGUAGUCCUGCAGCUGCUGCCAGUACUCCUCCCUGUUCCACCUUACACAUUUGGUAGAAGAGAUUCAGACCCAUCAACCUGGACAUUCAGAUGGUUUCAUUGAUAUCCAGCCUGUUGGGACAAACCUGGUGGCGCAUCUACAGAAUGCGACAGCCCGUAUGUCCUCAUGCAGGGAGACAAGCAAAAAUGCUAAAGUGACGUUAAAAAUGCUCCUUGUUUAAUGGCUGAAAGUUUUACUUGUAGUUUGCUUUAAAACAGACUCUACAUUAAAUGUUUUCUAAUGUGUAGUAACAGAUAUUUCUGGAGUUGUAACCAAAUGAGUUGAAGUGAUUUAACUAUAUACUUUUGAAACAACUUACUUAUGUUUUGUAACUUUUGUAAAUGAAAUCUGCUGGCUCUAUAUAUGCAUCAUGUAGAAAUAAAAGAAACUUUAAAUUCA